CAUGAAGCCAUCCCCUAUUUCAUUGCUUUCGGUGUCCAUUUCUCUUACCCAUCUUCCACUCAGCUGCUAGACUGAUAUCCUUAAAAUCCUUUUUCAGCUCAUUGGUUACACUCAUUCUUUUAGAGAUAGUAAAAGCAGUGACAUCACAGACUAUCUCCACCCAUAUAGAUGGGUACAACCUCCAGUUCCAAGUCUUCUUUUCUUUUUCUUUAUUCUAAAAAACAAAGUCUUGUGAUAGGAAAAGCCCUUUUAUUUCUACUGAAACUGAAAUGAGUACUAGAUUUCUCUCCUUAGUGACUAUUUUUCUUCUGAGGACAGGCCUUAUGAAUGCUGGAGUAACACAGAUACCAAGGCAUCUAAUCAAGGGAAAGGGUCAGAAGAUGAACCUAAUGUGCAAGCAGGACUUAGGUCAUGAUGCUAUGUUCUGGUAUCGGCAGGACGCCAACCGCGAGAUCCGUGUGAUGUUUUACUUCAGUAGACAAGAACUUAUUACAAAUGAGACUGCUUCUAGUCGCUUUCAAUCAGGUUUCCAUAAGGAACAAUUCAAUCUUAAGAUUGAACUUCUUCAACUGGAGGAUACAGCUACAUAUUUCUGUGCCAGUAGUAAACCACAGAGUUGUAAAGUUCCUUGAUCUCUGUGCAUAAACUUCUUCCAACAUCUGCUGAAAAGCAACAGGGGAUGAAAAGGGUUAUAGGAUAUUGAUCAAGAAGGAAUAACAAAAAAAGGUCAUAGAGAUUGAGGGCUAGAAGAAUUCUUAGAGAUCAUUUA